rnacentral:rRNA from 1 species
CAGCAGCCCGAGUGGUGGCCGUUUUUAUUGGGCCUAAAGCGUCCGUAGCCGGUCUAGUAAAUCCCUGGAUAAAUCGUACAGCUUAACUGUACGGCUCCCGGGGAGACUGCUAGACUUGGGACUGGGAGAGGUCGGAGGUACUCCAGGGGUAGGGGUGAAAUCUUGUAAUCCUUGGGGGACCACCAGUGGCGAAGGCGUCCGACUAGAACGGGUCCGACGGUAAGGGACGAAGCCCUGGGGCGCGAACCGGAUUAGAUACCCGAGUAGUCC